GGGGCUGUAGCUCAGCUGGCUAGAGCGCUUCCAUGGCAUGGAAGAGGUCAGGGGUUCAAUUCCCCUCAGCUCCACCA
rnacentral:tRNA from 5 species